rnacentral:rRNA from 1 species
CCAGGAAUAUUGGGCAAUGGACGAAAGUCUGACCCAGCAAUACCGCGUGGAGGAUGACGGUUUUCGGAUCGUAAACUCCUUUUGCCAAGCCCUUCACAGCUUGGAGAAUAAGCCUUUACUAACUACGUGCCAGAAGUCUCGGUAAUACGUGGGAGGCAAGCGUUAUCCGGAUUGACUGGGCGUAAAGCGUGCGUAGGCGGCUUCCUAAGUCUUUUGUUUAAAGACCAAGGCUUAACCUUGGUUUGGCAGAGAUACUGGGUCGCUUGAAGAUUGCUCGGGAUGCUGGAACAGUUGGUGUAGCGGUGAAAUGCGUUGAUAUCAACUGGAACACCAAAGGCGAAGGCAGGCAUCUGGGGUUUUCUUGACGCUGAGGUACGAAAGCUAGGGUAGCGAAACAGAU